rnacentral:rRNA from 1 species
AUGGCCCAAGGCCCUGCUCGCUGCCUUCCCUCCUCGAUCCCCUCCAUCCUCCUUCCGCCGCCACACACACACACACAGAGGAGCGAGACCUCCUCACGCUCGAUCCCCAUGGCGCCUCGUGCAACAGCUGGCCGCACGACCCACCUACCGCGACGAGCUAUGCGCCCCUUCUCCUCCCUGACUCCUCCUUGCCCGCGACCUCCAACCUCCUCAUCGCCUUGCUCAGCCUUGACCUUCGCUCCAGCUCCUCACGCCCUCAAGCUCCCUUGUCUGCCGCCCCUGCUAUGGCCGCCGCUUCUGUCUUCCCCACCGCCAAGCAUCACCGUCACGCCCUCCUCCUUGCCUUGGAGCCCCGCGCCUCGUCCUCGUGUCUCCUAA